rnacentral:lncRNA from 1 species
AAACAACUCCAGACGCGCUGUCUUAAGAGCUAUAACACUCACCGCGAAGGUGUGCAGUUUCACUCCUGAGCUAGUGAGACUACGAAGCCACUGGAACGAAGAAACUCCAACCACGUUUGAACAUCAGAAGGGGCAGACUCCAGACGCUUCAUCUUAAGAGCUGUAACACUCACUGUGAAGGUCUGCAGCUUCACUCCUGAGCCAGCGAGACCACGAACCGAUCUGAACAUCAGAAGGGACAGACUCCAGAUGCCCCACCUUAAGAGCUGUAAUACUCACUGCAAGGGUCUGCAGCUUCAUUCUUGAAGUCAGACCAAGAACCCAGCAAUUCCCAACACACAGGGACCAGCUUCUUUCCUAACUCACUUAGGCUCUUCGUGCUGCUCUGGCAACUAACACCCUUGGCUGCAGGGGCUUGGACACUACCCUUAGUCACUGACAAUUGUGUGAAGGCUGCUGUCGUUAACUUCACUUGAUCACCUUAGGCUCCUGUGAAGUGGUGAGCAAUUCAAACAAAUUCCUGUCGUCAAAUCAUAUGGAGAAAUUGCACUGCAGAGAAAUCUUUAAAAGCAAUUACCUAAUACUGCAGAUUGCUGAACUGUACCCACACCCAAGACUGAGCAUUGGAUCAAUCCAGAAUAUACAUCAGGUGUUCUGCAAUGUCUGCCUAAAACCAUGACUCUGCCUCCUCCAGCUGUUGCUACAUCUCACUAUGGGUUUCCUGUGACAUUUUGAGCAAGUAUGCCUCUGUGACUGGGGUUCUUACACUCCAGAAUGGAUGAGAAGCACCGUAAGUGGCUUUUAAAAUGAAUAUUCCCUGGCCCUUCAGUCGCUCUAUAGGUCAAGAAUCUGAAUUCUCAACCUGUCUAGAAGGUUCUGGUUUUAAUGGUCUGUGGGCUGCACAUUGAGAAACCUGUUCAGCGAGUGCAACAAAGGUUCCACAUGUGAGAAAGGAAGCAUCAGGUCUCUUGAGCCUGUUCUUUAAUCUGUAGGCUGCACCUUCUCUUUAAAUUCUGCUAAUAACACCAUGCGAGAAAACACCCGAGCUUGAAAAGCCCAUGUUCCAACAUAACUGUCCUUCACCACUCUGGAAAAUUAAUGGUUUGUUUCGAUUAUCCCUUUGUUAAACUCCAAAGUCAAAGAGCUCUGAAAGGCAUACGGUUAUUUUAAGUUUCAGGUGAU